rnacentral:rRNA from 1 species
GCCGAAAACCUAAGGUUUCCUCAGGAAGGUUCGUCCGCUGAGGGUUAGUCGGGACCUAAGCCGAGGCCGAAAGGCGUAGGUGAUGGACAACUGGUUGAUAUUCCAGUACCACUACCAUCGUUAUUAUCGAUGGCGUGACGCAGGAGGAUAGUGUGUGCUAGCUAUUGGAUGCUAGUCUAAGCGUUUAGGCAGUGAGAGUAGGCAAAUCCGCUCUCAUAAUGCUGAGGCGUGAUGGGGAAGGUUCCACGGAACCGAAGU